UACAGAGGGUGCAAGCGUUAAUCGGAAUUACUGGGCGUAAAGCGUGCGUAGUCGGUUAUCUAAGUCGGGUGUGAAAUCCCCGGGCUCAACCUGGGAAUGGCAUUUGGGACUGCAAGGCUGGAGUGCGGCAGAGGAGACUGGAAUUCCUGGUGUAGCAGUGAAAUGCGUAGAUAUCAGGAGGAAUACCGAUGGCGAAGGCAGGUCUCUGGGCUGACAC
rnacentral:rRNA from 1 species